GACGUAGGGCGCGAGCGUUGUCCGGAAUUAUUGGGCGUAAAGAGCUCGUAGGCGGCUUGUCGCGUCGACUGUGAAAACCCGUGGCUCAACCAUGCGGUCUGCAGUCGAUACGGGCAGGCUAGAAUUCGGUAGGGGAGACUGGAAUUCCUGGUGUAGCGGUGAAAUGCGCAGAUAUCAGGAGGAACACCGGUGGCGAAGGCGGGUCUCUGGGCCGAUAUUGACGCUGAGGAGCGAAAGCGUGGGGAGCGAACAGG
rnacentral:rRNA from 1 species